rnacentral:misc_RNA from 1 species
UUUGUUUAUAGAAUAUAUGAUACGUAAAUGUCAAUUGGGAUUGCAUACUUGUUCUUUGCAGCCUAAAGGAAUUAAAUUAAAGGGGCUUUAACCUUUUUCCUUUAGGAUGUGUUGGGGCUUUGGAGGUGGCUUUUUUUUUCCCUUUUUGGCUCUAUUGGCAUAUGGUAGUUUAUAGAAGAGUAUGACUAGAAUUUUUCUUUUUAUUCUUUAAUUCUUUAUCUUUGAUAUAUGUUCAAGGAAAGUUGAAUUUUCAUUUUCAUUUUCAUUUUGUACAGUGCAGCAAUCGUGAUUGGAGAAACAGUAUGACUACAUCAGCUACAAAACUGCCAAUUGAAGCGAUUGAAUUGU